rnacentral:rRNA from 1 species
GAGAGUUUGAUCCUGGCUCAGGAUGAACGCUAGCUACAGGCUUAACACAUGCAAGUCGAGGGGCAGCAUGGUCUUAGCUUGCUAAGGCCGAUGGCGACCGGCGCACGGGUGAGUAACACGUAUCCAACCUGCCGUCUACUCUUGGACAGCCUUCUGAAAGGAAGAUUAAUACAAGAUGGCAUCAUGAGUCCGCAUGUUCACAUGAUUAAAGGUAUUCCGGUAGACGAUGGGGAUGCGUUCCAUUAGAUAGUAGGCGGGGUAACGGCCCACCUAGUCUUCGAUGGAUAGGGGUUCUGAGAGGAAGGUCCCCCACAUUGGAACUGAGACACGGUCCAAACUCCUACGGGAGGCAGCAGUGAGGAAUAUUGGUCAAUGGGCGAGAGCCUGAACCAGCCAAGUAGCGUGAAGGAUGACUGCCCUAUGGGUUGUAAACUUCUUUUAUAAAGGAAUAAAGUCGGGUAUGGAUACCCGUUUGCAUGUACUUUAUGAAUAAGGAUCGGCUAACUCCGUGCCAGCAGCCGCGGUAAUACGGAGGAUCCGAGCGUUAUCCGGAUUUAUUGGGUUUAAAGGGAGCGUAGAUGGAUGUUUAAGUCAGUUGUGAAAGUUUGCGGCUCAACCGUAAAAUUGCAGUUGAUACUGGAUAUCUUGAGUGCAGUUGAGGCAGGCGGAAUUCGUGGUGUAGCGGUGAAAUGCUUAGAUAUCACGAAGAACUCCGAUUGCGAAGGCAGCCUGCUAAGCUGCAACUGACAUUGAGGCUCGAAAGUGUGGGUAUCAAACAGGAUUAGAUACCCUGGUAGUCCACACGGUAAACGAUGAAUACUCGCUGUUUGCGAUAUACGGCAAGCGGCCAAGCGAAAGCGUUAAGUAUUCCACCUGGGGAGUACGCCGGCAACGGUGAAACUCAAAGGAAUUGACGGGGGCCCGCACAAGCGGAGGAACAUGUGGUUUAAUUCGAUGAUACGCGAGGAACCUUACCCGGGCUUAAAUUGCAGAUGAAUUACGGUGAAAGCCGUAAGCCGCAAGGCAUCUGUGAAGGUGCUGCAUGGUUGUCGUCAGCUCGUGCCGUGAGGUGUCGGCUUAAGUGCCAUAACGAGCGCAACCCUUGUUGUCAGUUACUAACAGGUCAUGCUGAGGACUCUGACAAGACUGCCAUCGUAAGAUGUGAGGAAGGUGGGGAUGACGUCAAAUCAGCACGGCCCUUACGUCCGGGGCUACACACGUGUUACAAUGGGGGGUACAGAGGGCCGCUACCACGCGAGUGGAUGCCAAUCCCAAAAACCUCUCUCAGUUCGGACUGGAGUCUGCAACCCGACUCCACGAAGCUGGAUUCGCUAGUAAUCGCGCAUCAGCCACGGCGCGGUGAAUACGUUCCCGGGCCUUGUACACACCGCCCGUCAAGCCAUGGGAGCCGGGGGUACCUGAAGUGCGUAACCGCGAGGAGCGCCCUAGGGUAAAACUGGUGACUGGGGCUAAGUCGUAACAAGGUAGCCG